GUAAAGGGUGCUUCAGAGCAACUACUGAAGAAGUCAUGACCAUGGAUGUGACCAGGACCAUCCUGCACAAACAGCUGAAGAAAGAGCUGGCUGGAGAGCUGUCCGAAAGGUGAAUGCCAGCCAGUGAUGCUGUCAGUGCAGCAGCCCAGAACCUGCCAGAAGCUCCCACCAGCCCUAUCCUCAGCCACCCUCUCUGCCUGCCAACAUACUGCUCCUCUCUUCAUGUACACAACAUCAACUCUUUCUUACCCCUUUACUCUGCCUUUCAAGCAUUGCCUUGUAUGCACAGUUUCCUUGCAUAGAGUUCCUUGCAUUUCUACCACCCACUGACAUGAGGUGUUUACUUCUCAGAGAUCCUUCACUAUUUCCCUUUUCUCAUCCAGUUAAACACCCGAAAAUCUAUCUGCUAUGGAGCAGCAGAUAACAACCUCCAAAUGACCCGUACAGUGUUUAUUGUCGUGGUUUGAUUAUUUUGUGCACCUUACUGGAGAAAUAACAGUCAAAAAGGGAGUGCUGAAACAGAUAAAAAUAUGUGACUGCAGCAUAAAACAUUUGCAAACAGCUUUUUGUGCAACAAAGAAAGUGUAAAAAUAUGGCAGGUAAUGCUCCUAAAUAGCUCCUUGGAUUAACUAAAAUAGAAGUUUAAAUGUAUGGUAACCUUUUGGAAAUGAAAAAGAGA